CAGGGAGACAACAAAAUGUUUAAUAUUAUUAUUUUGUCACCUUAGGUCGAUCGGUAUCUCACGUUUUUAAUUUAUUAAGAAUUUCAUUUCCUAAGUUUUUCUAGGUCACACCCAUUAUUUUUCCUGGGCCAUUAGCUCAGGUGGUUAGAGCGCACCCCUGAUAAGGGUGAGGUCCCUGGUUCAAGUCCAGGAUGGCCCAUAUCUCUAUGUUGGGGGUAUAGCUCAGUUGGUAGAGCGCCUGCUUUGCAAGCAGGAUGUCAGCGGUUCGAGUCCGCUUACCUCCACUGAUUACCACCUCUUCCAUAAUCUUUUAGAUAAGGAAAUUUUUUGAGUUGUGAUCAAAUUCUGAACGAAUCUAGCUUCCUAAUGAAAUCAUUAAGAUGCUGGACUCAUUGAAUUAAUUUCAUUGUUUUCAGAGAACCUUGACAACUGCAUAGAUUAUUUUUAAAGACAAUAAGCAUCUUUGAUGAUGCAGAUUUAUUAUUUGUGCGAAUGCAUUAAUAACAAUUCUAUUAAGCUGAUGCUUCAAUUUUGAAGUUAUU
rnacentral:tRNA from 1 species